rnacentral:rRNA from 1 species
UUGAGAUUCCGUCACCACCAAAAGAGUUAAGCACAGGGACACAUAUGAAGUCUCAGAGCCGGGUGUUGGUUCCGGUAGAGAUCGAGGGAAGUUAGUACCGAAGUCUGGGAUGGAAGAUGGCGAGAAAAGCUGUGUGGAUUUCUGAGGUGCCCGUACCGCAAACCGACACAGGUAGGUAGGAAGAAGACUCUAAGGCCAACGGGAGAAGGGUUGUUAAGGAACUCAGCAAAUUGACCCCGUAACUUCGGGAGAAGGGGUGCUCCAGAGAUGGAGCCGCAGAGAAUCGGCCCAAGCAACUGUUUACCAAAAACACAGGUUUGUGCUAAAUCGAAAGAUGACGUAUACGAGCUGACGCCUGCCCGGUGCUGGAAGGUUAAGAGGAGAUGUGCAAGCAUUGAAUCGAAGCCCCAGUGAACGGCGGCCGUAACAAUAACGGUCCUAAGGUAGCGAAAUUCCUUGUCAGGUAAGUUCUGACCCGCAUGAAAGGCGUAAUGAUUUGGGCACUGUCUCAACAGCCCGCCCGGCGAAAUUGUAGUACCGGUGAAGAUGCCGGUUACCCGCGACAAGACGGAAAGACCCCAUGGAGCUUUACUGUAGCCUAAUAUUGGGUUUCGAUGUUGCAUGCACAGGAUAGAUGGGACUCUGGGAAACCAGUGCUUUGGCGCUGGCGGAGAGGCCGUUGGGAUACCAUCCUUGCGAUAUUGGAAUUCUAACCUGCGGCUCUGAAUCGAGUCGGGGGACAUUGUUAGGUGGGCAGUUUGACUGGGGCGGUCGCCUCCUAAAAAGUAACGGAGGCGUUCAAAGGUUCGCUCAGCUUGAACGGAAAUCAAGCAAAAGAGUGCAAACGCAGAAGCGAGCCUAACUGCGAGACUGACGGGUCGAGCAGUAACGAAAGUUGGAGUUAGUGAUCCGGUGGUAUGUGAGUGGAAAUGCCAUCGCUCAACGGAUAAAAGUUACCCUGGGAUAACAGGCUGAUCUCCCCCAAGAGUCCACAUCGACGGGGAGGUUUGGCACCUCGAUGUCGGCUCAUCGCAUCCUGGGGCUGUAUUCGGUCCCAAGGGUUUGGCUGUUCGCCAAUUAAAGCGGUACGCGAGCUGGGUUCAGAACGUCGUGAGACAGUUCGGUCCCUAUCUGUCGUGGGCGCAGGAUAUUUGAUGGGAGCUGUCCCUAGUACGAGAGGACCGGGACGGACGUACCUCUGGCGCACCAGUUGUUCUGCCAAGAGCAUAGCUGGGCAACUACGUACGGAUCGGAUAAACGCUGAAAGCAUCUAAGCGUGAAGCCGACCCAAAGAUAAGAUAUCCCACUGUUUCAAACAGGUAAGAUCCCUUGAAGACUACAAGGUUGAUAGGCACGAUGUGUAAGUGGAGUGAUCCAUUCAGCAAGCGUGUACUAAUAGAUCGAGGGCUUGAUC